UGGGGAAUUUUGGACAAUGGGCGAAAGCCUGAUCCAGCAAUGCCGCGUGUGUGAAGAAGGCCUUCGGGUUGUAAAGCACUUUUGUCCGGAAAGAAAUCCUUGGCUCUAAUACAGUCGGGGGAUGACGGUACCGGAAGAAUAAGCACCGGCUAACUACGUGCCAGCAGCCGCGGUAAUACGUAGGGUGCAAGCGUUAAUCGGAAUUACUGGGCGUAAAGCGUGCGCAGGCGGUUUGCUAAGACCGAUGUGAAAUCCCCGGGCUCAACCUGGGAACUGCAUUGGUGACUGGCAGGCUAGAGUAUGGCAGAGGGGGGUUAGAAUUCCACGUGUAGCAGUGAAAUGCGUAGAGAUGUGGAGGAAUACCGAUGGCGAAGGCAGCCCCCUGGGGCCAAAUACUGACGCUCAUGCACGAAAGCGUGGGGAGCAAACAGGAUUAGAUACCCUGGUAGUCCACGCCCUAAACGAUGUCAACUAGUUGUUGGGGAUUCAUUUCCUUAGUAACGUAGCUAACGCGUGAAGUUGACCGCCUGGGGAGUACGGUCGCAAGAUUAAAA
rnacentral:rRNA from 1 species